GGGUUGUGAGGUUAAGCGACUAAGCGUACACGGUGGAUGCCCUGGCAGUCAGAGGCGAUGAAGGACGUGCUAAUCUGCGAUAAGCGUCGGUAAGGUGAUAUGAACCGUUAUAACCGGCGAUUUCCGAAUGGGGAAACCCAGUGUGAUUCGUCACACUAUCAUUAACUGAAUCCAUAGGUUAAUGAGGCGAACCGGGGGAACUGAAACAUCUAAGUACCCCGAGGAAAAGAAAUCAACCGAGAUUCCCCCAGUAGCGGCGAGCGAACGGGGAGCAGCCCAGAGCCUGAAUCAGUGUGUGUGUUAGUGGAAGCGUCUGGAAAGGCGCGCGAUACAGGGUGACAGCCCCGUACACAAAAAUGCACAUGCUGUGAGCUCGAUGAGUAGGGCGGGACACGUGGUAUCCUGUCUGAAUAUGGGGGGACCAUCCUCCAAGGCUAAAUACUCCUGACUGACCGAUAGUGAACCAGUACCGUGAGGGAAAGGCGAAAAGAACCCCGGCGAGGGGAGUGAAAAAGAACCUGAAACCGUGUACGUACAAGCAGUGGGAGCACAGAGCAAUCUGUGUGACUGCGUACCUUUUGUAUAAUGGGUCAGCGACUUAUAUUCUGUAGCAAGGUUAACCGAAUAGGGGAGCCGAAGGGAAACCGAGUCUUAACUGGGCGUUAAGUUGCAGGGUAUAGACCCGAAACCCGGUGAUCUAGCCAUGGGCAGGUUGAAGGUUGGGUAACACUAACUGGAGGACCGAACCGACUAAUGUUGAAAAAUUAGCGGAUGACUUGUGGCUGGGGGUGAAAGGCCAAUCAAACCGGGAGAUAGCUGGUUCUCCCCGAAAGCUAUUUAGGUAGCGCCUCGUGAAUUCAUCUCCGGGGGUAGAGCACUGUUUCGGCAAGGGGGUCAUCCCGACUUACCAACCCGAUGCAAACUGCGAAUACCGGAGAAUGUUAUCACGGGAGACACACGGCGGGUGCUAACGUCCGUCGUGAAGAGGGAAACAACCCAGACCGCCAGCUAAGGUCCCAAAGUCAUGGUUAAGUGGGAAACGAUGUGGGAAGGCCCAGACAGCCAGGAUGUUGGCUUAGAAGCAGCCAUCAUUUAAAGAAAGCGUAAUAGCUCACUGGUCGAGUCGGCCUGCGCGGAAGAUGUAACGGGGCUAAACCAUGCACCGAAGCUGCGGCAGCGACGCUGAUGCGUUGUUGGGUAGGGGAGCGUUCUGUAAGCCUGUGAAGGUGUACUGUGAGGUAUGCUGGAGGUAUCAGAAGUGCGAAUGCUGACAUAAGUAACGAUAAAGCGGGUGAAAAGCCCGCUCGCCGGAAGACCAAGGGUUCCUGUCCAACGUUAAUCGGGGCAGGGUGAGUCGACCCCUAAGGCGAGGCCGAAAGGCGUAGUCGAUGGGAAACAGGUUAAUAUUCCUGUACUUGGUGUUACUGCGAAGGGGGGACGGAGAAGGCUAUGUUGGCCGGGCGACGGUUGUCCCGGUUUAAGCGUGUAGGCUGGUUUUCCAGGCAAAUCCGGAAAAUCAAGGCUGAGGCGUGAUGACGAGGCACUACGGUGCUGAAGCAACAAAUGCCCUGCUUCCAGGAAAAGCCUCUAAGCAUCAGGUAACAUCAAAUCGUACCCCAAACCGACACAGGUGGUCAGGUAGAGAAUACCAAGGCGCUUGAGAGAACUCGGGUGAAGGAACUAGGCAAAAUGGUGCCGUAACUUCGGGAGAAGGCACGCUGAUAUGUAGGUGAAGUCCCUCGCGGAUGGAGCUGAAAUCAGUCGAAGAUACCAGCUGGCUGCAACUGUUUAUUAAAAACACAGCACUGUGCAAACACGAAAGUGGACGUAUACGGUGUGACGCCUGCCCGGUGCCGGAAGGUUAAUUGAUGGGGUCAGCGCAAGCGAAGCUCUUGAUCGAAGCCCCGGUAAACGGCGGCCGUAACUAUAACGGUCCUAAGGUAGCGAAAUUCCUUGUCGGGUAAGUUCCGACCUGCACGAAUGGCGUAAUGAUGGCCAGGCUGUCUCCACCCGAGACUCAGUGAAAUUGAACUCGCUGUGAAGAUGCAGUGUACCCGCGGCAAGACGGAAAGACCCCGUGAACCUUUACUAUAGCUUGACACUGAACAUUGAGCCUUGAUGUGUAGGAUAGGUGGGAGGCUUUGAAGUGUGGACGCCAGUCUGCAUGGAGCCGACCUUGAAAUACCACCCUUUAAUGUUUGAUGUUCUAACGUUGACCCGUAAUCCGGGUUGCGGACAGUGUCUGGUGGGUAGUUUGACUGGGGCGGUCUCCUCCUAAAGAGUAACGGAGGAGCACGAAGGUUGGCUAAUCCUGGUCGGACAUCAGGAGGUUAGUGCAAUGGCAUAAGCCAGCUUGACUGCGAGCGUGACGGCGCGAGCAGGUGCGAAAGCAGGUCAUAGUGAUCCGGUGGUUCUGAAUGGAAGGGCCAUCGCUCAACGGAUAAAAGGUACUCCGGGGAUAACAGGCUGAUACCGCCCAAGAGUUCAUAUCGACGGCGGUGUUUGGCACCUCGAUGUCGGCUCAUCACAUCCUGGGGCUGAAGUAGGUCCCAAGGGUAUGGCUGUUCGCCAUUUAAAGUGGUACGCGAGCUGGGUUUAGAACGUCGUGAGACAGUUCGGUCCCUAUCUGCCGUGGGCGCUGGAGAACUGAGGGGGGCUGCUCCUAGUACGAGAGGACCGGAGUGGACGCAUCACUGGUGUUCGGGUUGUCAUGCCAAUGGCACUGCCCGGUAGCUAAAUGCGGAAGAGAUAAGUGCUGAAAGCAUCUAAGCACGAAACUUGCCCCGAGAUGAGUUCUCCCUGACUCCUUGAGAGUCCUGAAGGAACGUUGAAGACGACGACGUUGAUAGGCCGGGUGUGUAAGCGCAGCGAUGCGUUGAGCUAACCGGUACUAAUGAACCGUGAGGCUUAACCUUACAACGCCGAAGGUGUUU
rnacentral:rRNA from 1 species